GUAAGUGAAUAUGAUUGGGAUUUAUGUUAGUCACAAGGGUAUGGUCAGCUUGGCUAUAUUAUAGGUUAAAAUUUUAAAGAAAAAAAGGAGGAGGAACCGGAGGAGAAGGAAAAGGAAGAAGAUGAAGGGACAGAGAGAAAAUUUUUAGUCCCUGUAACGUAUUUGGGGUACCACGUAGCACUGUUACUUGAUACGUCAACGUCAACCUUUUGUCAUUCGGUAGCAUGGGUCGAUCUAUCCAUUUUUCUUAAUGGAUAAAUGUUUGGUUGAAGUUUAAGUAUGAUUAAGGUGUGCGUCGUUCCUCGAAUAAAAGGUUAUCAAAAAUUUAUUGUCCAAAAAAAUUGAUCUGCCAAAAACUUAUAACGAGAUAGCUGCAACGGUUCUAGUAUCAACUGGGUUCUACCAUGUUUCGCGAAUAGGCGAAAUGAGAGGACAUAUGCACUGUUGAGUGCUUUUGUGGAACAAUGGAGGCCUGAAACACAUACGUUUCAUCUUUCAGUCAGCAAAGUGACUGUGACACUUUAAAACGUGACACAUAUACUUGGCCUCCCGGUUAAUAGAGAGCUCGUGACGGGUAGAACGGAGUAAUGGACAACAGUCAGGAGUUCUUGGUGGAAAACUGCUUAGCUAUUUUUGGUAGGCCGCCCGGUCUGGACAUCACAUAUUGGGGAAGGUAAACCUUGCAGGGGUUUGGCGAUGCAGAGAUAUCGAAUCGUUAGAUACACAGGAGUCGAUCGAGUGGUGGAGUCAUUGGCGCUGGCUAAUGAGAUAUACGCGAAGGUCUACAACGCACUUUAGACAACAACUAGAUGACAUGGGGGUCAAUGAUUUUAUAUGGCGGCCAUAUAUGAGAUUGGUGGUUUCUGACGGCCUAUCCGUAAUUUUGGUAGUGUGCUCCACAAAGUCUCCGUUGUCAUUUGAAUGUAUAGAGUGGCACCCAACAGACCGAGUAAGACGUCAAUUCGGGUUUGAAUAACUUCGACCGGAGGAACCAUUCCAUAUUGGUGAUGCUCAUUGUAGGCGUUGACCGGCACACAGAACCAUGAUCGGAGCAACAGGAACAGGGUUUGGGUUAACAUGUGAAUUUCUGACCCCUUAUAAUACACUGCAGCUAGGGGACGAAAUUGUCAAUUUCCAUCCUCUUCUGAUGUACUAUAAGUGGUACACACAACAGUACAGAAAUCACCUACGGUUGUCAAAUAGAGUUGUGCAUGCAGAAGUCCAAGUGAAUGAACCACAUGCGCAUUUU